rnacentral:rRNA from 1 species
AACGAACGCUGGCGGCAUGCCUAACACAUGCAAGUCGAACGAGACCUUCGGGUCUAGUGGCGCACGGGUGCGUAACGCGUGGGAACCUGCCCUUAGGUUCGGAAUAACUCCCCGAAAGGGGUGCUAAUACCGGAUAAUGUCUUCGGACCAAAGAUUUAUCGCCUUUGGAUGGGCCCGCGUUGGAUUAGCUAGUUGGUAGGGUAAAAGCCUACCAAGGCGACGAUCCAUAGCUGGUCUGAGAGGAUGAUCAGCCACACUGGGACUGAGACACGGCCCAGACUCCUACGGGAAGCAGCAGUGGGGAAUAUUGGACAAUGGGCGAAAGCCUGAUCCAGCAAUGCCGCGUGAGUGAUGAAGGCCUUAGGGUUGUAAAGCUCCUUUACCCGGGAUGAUAAUGACAGUACCGGGAGAAUAAGCUCCGGCUAACUCCGUG